AGUUGGUCGGUCUGUCGCGCGUUUUAUGCGGGAGGAAAGUCCGGGCAACACAGAGCGUCCUACUUCCUAACGGGAAGCUAUUCGCGAGAGUAGAGUAACGCAGAAGAAAACAACCGCCUUUCUUCGGAAAGGUAAGGGUGAGAAGGCGGGGUAAGAGCCCACCGGUCUCGUGGCAACACUGAGAGCCGUGCGUCUUAGGAGUUGUAAGGUCAUGUAAACCGACGUAUGAGGGUUGCUCGCCCCAUGUUGGAGGGUAGACCGCUAAAGUUUAAUGGUGACAUUAGACUCAGAUAAAUGACAGACACCUUUAUUGAGGGAACAGAACUCGGCUUACAGACCGACUGCU
rnacentral:RNase_P_RNA from 1 species